CGUGUAGGCGGCCGAUUAAGUCUGGAGUGAAAGUCCUGCUUUCAAGGUGGGAAUUGCUUUGGAGACUGGUUGGCUUGAGUGCGGAAGAGGUAAGUGGAAUUCCCAGUGUAGCGGUGAAAUGCGUAGAGAUUGGGAGGAACACCAGUGGCGAAGGCGACUUACUGGGCCGUAACUGACGCUGAGGCGCGAAAGCGUGGGGAGCGAACA
rnacentral:rRNA from 1 species